rnacentral:rRNA from 1 species
GAUGAACGCUGGCGGCGUGCCUAAUACAUGCAAGUCGAGCGAACAGACGCGGAGCUUGCUCCUCUGACGUUAGCGGCGGACGGGUGAGAAACACGAGGAUAACGUCCCUAUCAGACUGGGAAAACUUCGGGAAACCGGAGCUAAUACCGUAUAAUCUCUUGAACCGCAUGGUGCAAUGGUGAGAGACGGUGUUGCUGUCUGUUCUAGCUGGUUACGCGCCGCAUUGGCUAGUUGGUACGGUAAAGGGUUACCAAGGCGACUAUGCGUAGCCGACGUGUGUGGGUGAUCGGCCACACUGGAACUUAGACACCGUCCAGACUCCUACGGGAGGCACCAGUAGGGUAUCUUCCGCAAUAGUCGGAAGCCUUGCGGAGCAGCGCCGCGUGAGUGACGAAGGUCUCCGGAUCGUAAAGCUCUGUUACUAGUUAAGAACAAAUGUCGAAGUAACUAUGCCCUUCGUGACGGUACCGAAUCAGAAAGCCCCGGCUAACUACGUG